AUAGCUGCAAAUAGAGAAGAAAAACUGCCUUUCUCUAGUUGUAAUUAUAGAAAAUUCUUAGGACUAGUUUACUCAAUGUUUUCUAUAAAUAGGAAGGCAUCCAACUAGUAUCAUGUAUGUAGAAGAAGUGAGAAAAAACCUCUCAAAAAAUAGAGAGAAAGAGUGUGUUGUAGCAACUCAUUUGUAAUCCCGAAAUUUCAUUAGUAAAAUCUCAUAUUUCUCCAAUCUCUAUCCUUCUACAUCUAACAAAUUUUGGUAUUAGAGCAAGGUUAAAAUUCAUAAACCCACUCCUACCAAAUUCCUACCAAAAGCUGAGAUAAAACCAGCCUAAAAAAAACCAUAAUACCAGCAGAUUUUUUAACAGAAAUAGGGAAAUUAUGGCAACAAAUUCAACAGCCUCCUUGUUCACUUAUUCACCAAAUCAAGUGCCAAUCUUUGAAGGUGAGCAUUAUGAAUAUUGGAGUAGUCAAAUGCAAACUCUCUUUACCUCUUUAGAUUUAUGGGAAGUCAUUGAGGAUGAU
rnacentral:lncRNA from 1 species